rfam:Glycine max cultivar Williams 82 chromosome 8, whole genome shotgun sequence.
AUACCUUUCUCGGCCUUUUGGCUAAGAUCAAGUGUAGUAUCUGUUCUUAUCAGUUUAAUAUCUGAUAUGUGGACCAUUGGUUCACACGAUAUUAAAUUAAUUUUUUGAGGGGAGGGUCCACCACAGUAGCUUGCUACUGGGGCUUUCAUGCGUCGCCCAUGUGUUGCACUACUGCACGGGCCUGGUGUACCCCAU